UGAGCACUCUCUUCCGAAGGCCAAUAGCUCCAGAGAAAUGCUUUCAAAUGUAAAAUUGUCCACACAGUGAUGCUGACUGCCACACAGCAACACCUACCUCUCAUCUCCUAGAUAAGCCAGGGUCUUAUCACAAGAAAUGCCUCAGAAAGCAAGCUUUGAACCAAAAACAAAGAAGGAUUGAGACACUACCCAAGAGUAGUAUUUACUUAAAUGGAAAUCAGCUCAAGUAAUUGAUCUUUUUUAGAAGCAAAAACAUGAUUUAAAACUUCAGAGGUGUGAAAUUCAAUCAUGCAAUUUUAAGCAGGAUCUUACAGUGAAACUUAAAGAAUUAAAAGCAGGGUUUUGGAGAAGAAUAUUUGCUACCUGUGAUGGAGUUCACUGACAAAUCUUUGUUAGUGUGAGGAGAUGGAUACUCUAAUGCUACAUUCAUUGAUCUUAAGAUGUGAAAGUUCUUUAUGAAGUAAAGCAACUUUAUUGUGCAAAGAUAUUUGCAGACUACUAUUAAUUCACUGGAAAGACGUCAGCACAGCAAGUCCCCUCCACAUUUGAGCUGUGUCCAUGAAGAUCUAUGAUCAUCGGGCUUUUAUUAGUACAAAUUUAAUGCACCACAACGCUGCUUCUUAAGAGAACAGAAGAACCUUUGAACCACAGCAGUGUGAUGAUAGGGAAGAAAAUAUGCAAAACUGAAACUCUUCCCUGGUGAGCAAACAGCAUCAAAUAGAAAAACUAUAGAUUUAAAACAUCAAAGGAUACCUUCUUAAUCCAUGGCUUACUGAUAACACUUCUUACUUUCUGUCCUAAACAUGCACACACAUUUGAGUUUCAGAGUGGAAGAAAAUGUAUCCUUUAUGUGAAUUUAUGCAUAGAACUCUGAAAAAAAUCAAGCAGAUUCUUGAUCCCUAUCACAAAAUGCUGAAAAUGUGAAAUCAUGGCUCAGUCUCAACAAAACAACAAACACUAAAAAAUACCUAUUAGCUGGAAGUGGAGGGAACAUUUCCUGGGGUUCAUGGCCAAGGCAAAAGGUUAAAUACCUACACACAACAAAACCAAGCCAUUUUCCUUCUCCAUUGAGAACUACAUCUGCACUUUGUUUCACUUCACAAUUUCACACAGCUACCAUAUCCUUGGUAUUCCCUUCCUCAA
ensembl:lncRNA